rnacentral:lncRNA from 13 species
AAACUCUCUCAGCCCUCACAGCAGAUGUGAUGUGGAUUGAGUAACAACGGCAAAAUGGAAAACUUCACAUAAUGUGCUUUCAGUUACAUGUGCAAGUUGUGAAACUUCCUAACUUAGAAAAAAACGUUUUUUUUAUUGUCACAUAUACCAGCUAGGUGCAGUGAAAUGUGUUGUUUUACAGGGUCGACCAUAGUAGUACGGCACCUCUGGAGCCAUUUAGGUUUCAGUGCACAUUGACAGAUUUCUCCCCUUGUCGAUUUCUGUAAAGGAACCAGCGACGUUUCGGUUACUGGCCCAAUGCUCUAACCACUAGGCUACCUGCCCCCUGAAUAGACUAGUACAUGUCAUAAUGUACUAACUACAUUGCUGAGCUAUAUUUCUACAUUGGGACUUAAUCUGUAAAUAUCUCAAUAUAUUUGUGAUAUUAAUCAAUAUUGUAAUGAUGAAUAAAGGUUGCUAGAACAAAGUAACUCACAAAUAUUAAACAAAACACCACACACUAAAGACGAUGCCUGCAGGCCACACCCUUCUAGCGCAAAUCAUUUGCAAUGAUGAAAUGACUGAAGCUUAGCUAUCUGAACACAUCAUAUAACACUUGUGGUGAACUAGAACAUGGUGAACCAUGUUGUGAACCAAAAGGCAACAUGUCUCAACUGAAUAUCACACCACAAUAUUACAUCACAAUCAUUUUUCUGACUUGAGGCUAACGUUUGUAAAAACGCUGUCUCUUUUACGUAUAUGGAGGUAGUGUUGCCAGAUUUCAUGACACUUUACAGCCAAAAUCCCACCAAGUCCAUUAAAGGGAGCCCAGUUGCAGGUGAGGAAAACUGCCCAAUCUGGCACCACCAUAUGGGGUAACAAAAGACAGAUGAGAGGGUGACAGAGUCCCAUGUCUUCUUAAAGGGAGGUAUGUAGAGAACUUGAUGGCUGUCUAUUUUUUUAAUUGAACCUUUUAACUAGACAAGUCAGUUAAGAACAAAUUCUAAUUUACAAUGACGGCCUACGCCAGCCAAACCC